AUGACGGCGGCGGCGGCGGGGAGCAGCAGUAGCAGGCCAAGGCGCCAAGCAGCAGCGAGCCCCGACAUCUCCGCCACCGCGCAGCACAACGCCGAGCUCGCCGAGCUCCAUUGCGUCCUCUCCUCCCGCCGGAUUCGCCGCUCACGGCCACCAUCGCUCACCCGCGACCUUGCCCGUGUAGCAGAGGCGAGGAGCGGGGACGAGCCUCCUCCCAUUUACUCUCUCUGUGUGUGUUCAUCCGCUCGAGAACUGGAUCCCGAGGGACAGAGGUGCAACCCUGCUGAGCCGCUUGAUCCCAAAAUUAAAGGUAAUUUAAGAUGUGAUUGGCCUGGCAGCAGCUCGGGCCUGCUGAAGAAUGAAGACGCAACAACAGGGGGAGGGAGAUUGGAAUGCUUCAGGAUCCUGAAAUAUGAUGUUAAACCUGAGCAUUUAUCCAAACAAGUUCUCAGUUACAUGGAAGUGGUUAUUUCCAGUCCUUUGUGGUUAUCAUUGGUGUUUCCUGGUUCAGAGCACCUCCAUGACGGCACCCAACAGUCUCGGAGCCAAGGUGAUAAGAGCAGGGAUGGACUCAUUAGCAUCAGCCAUGUGAAGAUGAUUGGAAAGUCUACUGGAGUAAUCCUUCUUCAUGGUAUACGAUAUUCUGCUGUCUUGUUACUACUGUCAUGGUCAUGGCUCAAGCUGCCGCCCUCUCCCCUGCACUUUGGGGAAAACAGAGAGAGCAACUUUGCCCUGACUUCCAGCUCCUCAUGUGAGGAGGAGGAGGGCAGACAGGGGAUGUGCCGCUGUAGGAGGUGGUGCAGGGCCGGGGGACCUCAUACUCGGCUCCCUCAUCCCCUGCGCGCCUCUUCUACUUCCUCCAGCUCUACAUCAAGCGCAACCGCCUGCCCCCAGGGUCCCCCAUGGCCGCAGCCGCUCCCUCUCGCGGGCCUCUCCCCGCGCGCGCUCCUGCCCCUCUCCGCCCGCGACGCCGUCGUCCGCGCCUGCGACGAGGACUCCCUCUACUACGCCGGCCUCCGCCGCUGCGCCGAUGACCCCUACCACCCUGCCUCCAACCCCGCCGGCGUCAUCCCGCUAGGCCUCACCGAGAACACGGAAUGGAUGGAGGAGCACCAGGAGAGGGACCUCACCAUCAGCGGCUCACCACGUACCAGCCAUAUGACAGGAUACUUGCCUCGAAGAUGGCAUGAUUAUUGUGUGCACUUCUUACUGAAGAUGAUCCUGACAAUAGGCUAUUUACUAGAGCAGUUCAAGCAAGAAUACUUCCAGAAUCCAUCUUGUGAUCUGUUGUCACUAUGGCUGAGCAGGCAUCAAGUCAAGCAAAGGGGAUUUUAUGGUUGCAGCCGAGACCAGUGCUUAGAAGAAAUUGACAGGACAGAUGAAGUAUCCAUAUAUGAGAUAAAACCAGUGACAAUCCAUCUAAUACCAUGGGUCCACAUGAUGAGAAGGAUAUUUGCAUACCAGGGAAAGCAUCACAUAAGAGCCAUGUUUCCUCCAUGCUUCUACAUGAUAAUUAGGAUGCAGGCAACUGGCAAUCUGUACCGUGAAAUUCAAGGAACAAUCAAUGGGACGAAAGUUACUCUGUCUGCACCAUGUCAGGAGGGUGCUUUUGGAUGUCGACUUCAUUUAUUUCAUAUUUGUCUCCAUGGUCUUUUUCUGAAAACACCCCCGGCGAAUUCCCGACAAACCCGCAGCUCCCCGUCGUCUCCCCCGCCCCUCUGUCGUGCUCCCUCGCGCCUCGGCAGCUCGGCUCCUCCGCAGCCCCCCGCAGGUCCCCGCGUCGCCGGAGCUCUCCUGCCCCAAGCCUCCCCCACCCCACGCCUCCCCCGCAGCUUCCCUCUCCUUGUUCCCCUCCUCUUUCCCCGUGGUGAUCCACGGCGAGGAGAAGGCUCGAUUUUUCUUCGAUCUACUCGGCGGCGGCCAUUUCCAAGUCCUCCUCCUCGGCGCUGCGGCGGCGGGGCCGAGCAGAAGAAGUGGAUGCGCGAGUAUGCGGCAAAGGAGGUCACCUUCGGCAUUGGCGCGCACGUCGGCAUGCUGUGGUGCGUUAACGAACUCGCGAACGCCGUCAAGGUCACCAUGUGCGGUGCGAAGGGAGGGGCCGCGGCGGCGGCGCCGUGGUGGAGGCUUCCCGUGGAGGUGCUGCUACUGUGGGCGACGCGCGCAGCGAGGAGCGCGUGGUCGGUGCCCGUCGCCAUCGCGCUGCUCGGGAUCGCCGUGCGGGGCCGCCGGAUGCGGAGGCAGAGCAAGGCCGUGGCGCGCUUGCGGCUUGUCCUUGACGAUAAGUUUGCAAAGAAUUGCAUUGAACCUCUCUGCAAAUUCCUGAACUUGACGAACCAGCUCAACAAGCUGCUAUUUUUAGCAUUCCCCUUCCUUUUUUGUGCCUGCAGGACUAUAUCAUUAGUGCCUGCAGUACCAAAUGUGAUGUUUGAUAUUUGCAACUUGGUCAUAACUCUGAUUAUCCAAACCAACAUCAACAUUUACUCAUCUGCUAACUUAUGCUUCCUCAAUGGUGGGCAGUUAACUCCUUACAAUAAUUUGGAAUUUGACCACAAGGAGCAGUCAACAAGAAUGUUCCAAUGA
rnacentral:rRNA from 1 species